UGGGGUAUAUUGCACAAUGGGGGAAACCCUGAUGCAGCGACGCCGCGUGAACGAAGAAGGUAUUCGUAUCGUAAAGUUCUGUCCUAUGGGAAGAUAAUGACAGUACCAUAGAAGAAAGCUCCGGCUAAAUACGUGCCAGCAGCCGCGGUAAUACGUAUGGAGCGAGCGUUGUCCGGAAUUAUUGGGCGUAAAGGGUACGCAGGCGGUUUAAUAAGUCGAAUGUUAAAGAUCGGGGCUCAACCCCGCAAAGCAUUGGAAACUGAUAAACUUGAGUAGUGGAGAGGAAAGUGGAAUUCCUAGUGUAGUGGUGAAAUACGUAGAUAUUAGGAGGAAUACCAGUAGCGAAGGCGACGUUCUGGACACAAACUGACGCUGAGGUACGAAAGCGUGGGGAGCAAACAGA
rnacentral:rRNA from 1 species